UUUGACAGGCGUACUAGCAUUACAGGUUGGUUCCACAAUUUAUUAACCUCUCUCUCUGGUCUAAUCUUCGUUCGUUGUGAAAGUCCUUGCUUUUAAUGUAACUGCUUUUAAGUAUACGUCUGUAUUGGGUAAUGCAAUGGUCGGUUUGUGUUUAAGCGCUGGCUAUUUAACAUGAUCAGUUGUUAAGGCAGUGUGUAUUGUUCAGCUAUCAACAACAGGGGGUAAACCGUAUACAGAAAUGUGGCCCAUGUAGGCCUAUGUAAUCUUGCUCUAACAUUUGUAAUACCUCAACACAGAGAGUAGCUUACUAGAGGUGUCAAAGGUAAAAGUAGAAGUGAAUUCAUGGUGAAAUGUAAACAAACGCCUGCCCCCAGACCAGGAUCUCUGAAAAGACUGAAUAAGGGGGAAAAAACACCUCAGAUAUGCCUACUGACAAGUCCAGGGUAGUGGGAGCAUUACUAAUUGUCAGAAAGCUUUAACAAUGGCACAUGAUAUAACAUAAUGACUAGUCUGUUUCACCAGUUAUUCUACUGUAGGCACACCCAAUGAGAUAGAUAGCCUACUGCUUUGUUGUUAUUGAAAAACCUAAAAGCUAGGUUAAAAAAAACCUCCAAUUUCACCAGUACUCUUAGAAUCUUAGAAUCAGUGGGCUACUAUAUACUCAAGUGCAAGUUAUAUGUUUUGGCAGGGUUUUGUUUGAUUGAGUAUUGUUUUUUUUUUCCUAUUCUUUUUCUCCCUUUUACUUUUGACAAUUCCGUAGAUGGUUGUACAAUCUACUGUAGCCUACUACUCAUGUCAUUUAAAAUGUAUAAAAUAUGAAAUAACAUCUACAUUUUCUUUUCAGAUGCUGUGCUGCGAACGGACACUGCAGUCACCUGUGGGAGGGGUCAAUCAAAUCGGAUCUCAAAAACAGAUGUCGCGAAUCUGAUCUGAUCUACCUACCUCUAUGUGGCAAUAGAGUACCUGCUUUUACUGGCCAGGGGACCAAGAUGAAAACAAGAGGCCUGUACCCAGACAUCCAAGCACCCAUCAAGUCACCCAGUCCUCCACCACCUGCCGUGCAGCUAUACCCAUCCAUCAAAUCCAGCCACUUGCCCACCCUAACCAGUCACAGCAUUUGGAGGCAAUAAAGUAUAAUGAAAUGUA